CGUACACUCCUGCGGGAGGCAGCAGUGGGGAAUAUUGCACAAUGGGCGCAAGCCUGAUGCAGCGACGCCGCGUGGGGGAUGAAGGCCUUCGGGUUGUAAACUCCUUUCGCUAGGGACGAAGCUUUUUUGUGACGGUACCUAGAUAAGAAGCACCGGCUAACUACGUGCCAGCAGCCGCGGUAAUACGUAGGGUGCGAGCGUUGUCCGGAAUUACUGGGCGUAAAGGGCUCGUAGGUGGUUUGUCGCGUCGUCUGUGAAAUUCUGGGGCUUAACUCCGGGCGUGCAGGCGAUACGGGCAUAACUUGAGUGCUGUAGGGGUAACUGGAAUUCCUGGUGUAGCGGUGAAAUGCGCAGAUAUCAGGAGGAACACCGAUGGCGAAGGCAGGUUACUGGGCAGUUACUGACGCUGAGGAGCGAAAGCAUGGGUAGCGAACAGGAUUAGAUACCCUGGUAGUCCC
rnacentral:rRNA from 1 species